UACGUAGGGGGCAAGCGUUGUCCGGAAUCAUUGGGCGUAAAGCGCGUGUAGGCGGCUCGAUAAGUCCGCUGUGAAAGUCCAGGGCUCAACCCUGGAAUGCCGGUGGAUACUGUCGGGCUAGAGUCCGGAAGAGGCGAGUGGAAUUCCUGGUGUAGCGGUGAAAUGCGCAGAUAUCAGGAGGAACACCAAUGGCGAAGGCAGCUCGCUGGGACGGUACUGACGCUGAGACGCGAAAGCGUGGGGAGCAAACAGG
rnacentral:rRNA from 1 species